ACUCCUACGGGAGGCAGCAGUAGGGAAUUUUUCGCAAUGGACGAAAGUCUGACGGAGCAAUGCCGCGUGAACGAUGAAGGUCUUCGGAUCGUAAAGUUCUGUUGUAAGGGAAGAACACCAAGGAUAGGAAAUGAUCUUUGGCUGACGGUACCUGCCA
rnacentral:rRNA from 1 species